rnacentral:rRNA from 1 species
GAUGAACGCUGGCGGCGUGCCUAAUACAUGCAAGUCGAGCGAACGGACGAGAAGCUUGCUUUUCUGAUGUUAGCGGCGGACGGGUGAGUAACACGUGGAUAACCUACCUAUAAGACUGGGAUAACUUCGGGAAACCGGAGCUAAUACCGGAUAAUAUUUUGAACCGCAUGGUUCAAAAGUGAAAGACGGUCUUGCUGUCACUUAUAGAUGGAUCCGCGCUGCAUUGGCUAGUUGGUAAGGUAACGGCUUACCAAGGCAACGAUGCAUAGCCGACCUGAGAGGGGGAUCGGCCACACUGGAACUGAGACACGGUCCAGACUCCUACGGGAGGCAGCAGUAGGGAAUCUUCCGCAAUGGGCGAAAGCCUGACGGAGCAACGCCGCGUGAGUGAUGAAGGUCUUCGGAUCGUAAAACUCUGUUAUUAGGGAAGAACAUAUGUGUAAGUAACUGUGCACAUCUUGACGGUACCUAAUCAGAAAACCACGGCUAACUACGU